rnacentral:lncRNA from 1 species
GCCAAGUUUACUUUAUAGAAAGGACAGUAUGAAUCUGAAAAGAUUACAUUGCCGAUAUCUUUGCUAUUGUGUGAUAAUUGUUCUUAGCAAAUAGAAAAUGAUAUGGAACUAAAAAUCAAGGAUUGAUUCUUAUUGUAUCCUUCUGAGGCUAAGUUUAUGUUUAAAAUAUUUUUGACAGUUUUCCAGUGGAUUAAAAAAUAAGCUAUUCCUUGCUGAAGAUGGAUGCAAAAGUCCCCAUCUAGAGGGUCAUUCUCCUGCUUGUUCUUUCAAAUGUCUUCAGUGAAUGCACUCAUAAUGGAAAAGGCUAAUAUUACGGCGACAUCAUGAAUUUCUCCGACAGCUUUGUGAAUCAGCAGAGUAUUUCAGAGGCGAGCCCUGACUGUUAAAAGCAAAGUCGUUAUUUUUUUAAACAGCCUUUAAACUAGUAGGUGAAACAUUUCGUUCUGGGCCAAGAAUACAUUUACUAGGAAUAAGGAAGAGGAGAGGGGCUGAACCACUUGAGAAAGAACAGAAGAAUCCUACACCGAAUCAGCCAAACCUCAAAUGACACAGUUUUAAGGGUCAAACACUUUCGGCUUCUUUUUUAGUACCCAGGU